rnacentral:rRNA from 1 species
CCUACGGGUGGCUGCAGUGGGGAAUCUUGCGCAAUGGGCGGAAGCCUGACGCAGCAACGCCGCGUGGGGGAUGACGGCCUUCGGGUUGUAAACCUCUUUCGCGAUCGACGAAGCCGCGCUCUUUGUAGGGGUGUGGUGACGGUAGGUCGAGAAGAAGCACCGGCCAACUACGUGCCAGCAGCCGCGGUAAUACGUAGGGUGCGAGCGUUGUCCGGAAUUAUUGGGCGUAAAGAGCUCGUAGGCGGUGUGUCGCGUCGGCCGUGAAAACCUGGGGC